CGGCGCUACGUCUCCAACCGCUCACAAUCGCCUCCAGCACAUUGAUCGAAAAGGGCUCGGGAUGUCAGAGCAUGAUGCCCGUUUUCGUACCCCCCAGCUUUUAUGAGCCUCUUCGGAAGCGCGCGUUAUUGAAUUCCUAAACGACUUUUACACAAGUGAACGGCGAAGCAGGAGAAGAUAAAUCACCGGCACGGCCUGCUGCAUGCCCAGCCAGGAAGAACGCUGGGAAGGCCAUCAAGUUCUUGUCAGAAAGCCACAGCAACCCAGGAUCAGCAAAGAGCUCUGAAAUAGGCUGCAUCUGACCCGGGCCUGUCGAUAAAAGACAGCUAAACGGCAGGAAGCAGAGAGCAAGCAGUGAAGUCAUUAUCCCAGCAGCAUAUCGAGCCAGAAAGCCAUCACACAUGCUGCCGAAGACAAGGAGGGGAGAGAGAGAGAGAUAGAGAAGUAGAAAAGCAGAGCAAGAGAAAAGAGAGGCAGUUUGAAGGAGAAAAAGGAUAAAAAAAUGGAAUCUGGCACUGUUGGUCCAUUGAUGAAGGAUAGUGUAAUGACAUGCAAGCAGGCUGGGAUGGGAGAGGAUGGAGGAGUCAGGAUGGAAUGAGGAGGAUGAAAGAGAGAGGAGAGGAAGGGCAGAGAGGUCAGGAGAAAGAGGAGAAGAGCGGAGAGUGAAGUGAUAAGCAGAAGAUGGCAGAUCUGAAUGGGGCACUGCUGAAGGAGAAUUCUACUGGUUCUCAUUCAUCAUUGAGAUGUAAACAAAGUCUUUUAGAGUGGUGAGAUGUGGAACAAUUCCUUACAGAGAAUUUAUAACAUCUUUACAGUGAUGGUGAUAGGAACCAGGCGUCGCCAUGUGUACAAUACAAAUAUUAUUUUAUUAUCAACGGCACCGGCGAACCUACACAUGCCUUUAUAUGUGUCUAUAUGUAAUGUUGAUGAUAGUAAAACAGCUUUGGGGAAUAUUUUGCCUGAAAUGCCCUGUGUGUACCUCUCUGCCAUAGUAAUUUGAAAAUAUCUAUGAUUUAGGCCAUAAAACCUGUUUCAAAACUAUGAUAACACAGUGCAUUAUAAACAACUGAAUGUAUUAGCUUCCUGAGAAGGAGCUUUCAGAGGCAUUCAGACGUCUGGUUCCCAUCACCACCACUUUGAACGAUUCUGAUUCUGUAUAUUUCUCUGGAAUGGAGCAUUUCACACCAAACCACUCUGACCGUGUUUACAUCUUAACCAUUGGGGUCAUUCUCCAUUUGAGUGGGAAACCAUGUCACAAAGGUCGCAGGGCUUAAAAUAUUAGACACAGCUCCACACGUCAGUAUGUACAUUUAAACAGUUGACGCAAAAUGAAAUGACAUCUUGUUUUUAGUCGCUCUGCAUCUGUAAAACAGCUCGGCACAAAACCAGAUUUCAACAUUUGGAAAAACAUUUUUAAUAUAAAACAAUAUUUUUAAGAGGUUUAACUUUGGAAUUUGUAUAAAACAUGUUCAUGUUUACUUUUUAUAUCAUUAACAUUAUAAUACAUUUCAAAAAUUUGAAACUUACUUAAAUAAUGAAUUUGUCUGAGAUUCUGGUCACUGGUGUUACCAGGACUCUUAUUUUGCAUUUGUGCACAGUAUUUUCAGCUCUAUUAA